rnacentral:rRNA from 1 species
UAGAGUUUGAUCAUGGCUCAGAAUGAACGUUGGCGGCGUGGAUUAGGCAUGCAAGUCGAGCGAGAACCGUAGCAAUACGGGGACAGCGGCGAAAGGGACAGUAAUGUGUAGGUACCUACCCUGAGGUUCGGGAUAGCUGCGGGAAACUGCAGGUAAUACCGAAUAAUGUCUCCGGACCAAAGGUGUGAUUCCACCUUAGGAGGGGCCUGCAUCCUAUUAGCUAGUUGGUGAGGUAACGGCUCACCAAGGCAACGAUGGGUAGCGGGUGUGAGAGCACGACCCGCGUCAUUGGGACUGAGACACUGCCCAGACACCUACGGGUGGCUGCAGUCGAGGAUCUUCGGCAAUGGGCGAAAGCCUGACCGAGCGACGCCGCGUGUGGGAUGAAGGCCUUCGGGUUGUAAACCACUGUCAACGGGGAGGAAAUGUAGGGGGGUACUCCCCUCUAUUUGACCUAUCUGUGGAGGAAGUACGGGCUAAGUUCGUGCCAGCCGCCGCGGUA